rnacentral:rRNA from 1 species
GAUGAACGCUGACAGAAUGCUUAACACAUGCAAGUCUACUUGAACUUCGGUUUGGGUGGCGGACGGGUGAGUAACGCGUAAAGAACUUGCCUCACAGUUAGGGACAACAUUUGGAAACGAAUGCUAAUACCUGAUAUUAUGAUUUUAGGGCAUCCUAAAAUUAUGAAAGCUAUAUGCGCUGUGAGAGAGCUUUGCGUCCCAUUAGCUAGUUGGAGAGGUAACGGCUCACCAAGGCGAUGAUGGGUAGCCGGCCUGAGAGGGUGAACGGCCACAAGGGGACUGAGAGACGGCCCGUACUCCUACGGGAGGCAGCAGUGGGGAAUAUUGGACAAUGGACCAAAAGUCUGAUCCAGCAGUUCUGUGUGCACGAUGACGUUUUUCGGAAUGUAAAGUGCUUUCAGUUGGGAAGAAAAAAAUGACGGUACCAACAGAAGAAGUGACGGCUAAAUACGUG